UACGAAGGGGGGCUAGCGUUGCUCGGAAUCACGUGGGCGUAAAGGGUGCGUAGGCGGGUCUUUAAGUCAGGGGUGAAAUCCUGGAGCUCAACUCCAGAACUGCCUUUGAUACUGAGGAUCUUGAGUUCGGGAGAGGUGAGUGGAACUGCGAGUGUAGAGGUGAAAUUCGUAGAUAUUCGCAAGAACACCAGUGGCGAAGGCGGCUCACUGGCCCGAUACUGACGCUGAGGCACGAAAGCGUGGGGAGCAAACAGG
rnacentral:rRNA from 1 species